AGUUAGACAGUGAAAGAGUAUAGUAAGUAUGCUCAUGAUCGAUCCAAGGGAUGAAAUGCCAUAGACUGAAAGCAUUUCAAUCGAAAGCAUAUUGAACAUUCGCUCUGGAGUUGACACUUGGACCUUGUACGUUUAACAAGUAAAGGUGUUCCGGUAUUCUUACCGUUAUCAAAUCACAAGUGGGUAUAGUUGAACUAUGCCAACAAGGGUGGUACCGCGAUACAUAUAUGUCUCGUCCCUUUC
rnacentral:ncRNA from 1 species